AGCGCUGAGGAGGGCACAGGGGACAUGCCUGACUCCGUCUGGGUGCCAGGCCCAGAGCCGGGCAUUUCCCAUAGUCAUCGGCCCCCUGCCCGCCCCCAGCAUGUCGAGGAAGGGAGGAGUAUUUUUAGUUCCAUCUUGAAGACGGGCACAGGAACGGAGAAUAACUGCCUGAAAGCACUGUCCCUGGUCUGAGCGGCCCUUGGAAAGGCUCAGCCUGGGUGAGCUGGAGGCAGGAGGGAGGGAGAGGGCAGGAGAGACAGGGGAGGGACCAGUGAAGGGAGGGGACAGACUCAGCAAGGGGCAGGCUGAGAUCAGAGGGCAGAGGGCAGAGAUGAAAGGGUGAGGCCAAGGAGGGAUGUAGAGAGCUCUGUGCUGUGCUGGGUCUUCCCCCAGAGCGUGACUGGGGUUCCCUAGGGCUCUGCGCUCCCAGGUGGGUCACCCUGCGUCUCUCUCCUCAGCCCAGGCCUUGCUGCUUCCCAUAACAGUUACAAGCACUGGCUCUGCCAUCGGAGAUGAAAGGGUACACGUGGGGUUCUCCGACCUUCCAGCCGUGUGACCUCGGACUAGACCUCUGUUUGCUUAGCUCCCUCCACUUGCCUUCCUCGAAUGUGGGAACCCCGGACUCUGUCUUGGAAAAGACCUGGCCUCUCCUUCUCUGGGUUGGGUCCAUCCGUGGGCUCCCGCAGAGGCCUGUGGUUGCAGAGACCGGAAGCUGC
rnacentral:lncRNA from 1 species